CUUUUUGCACACACACGAAUACAAAGAGCCAUACGACCUUCGGGUAUCCUUUUUCCAUUUUUUUUCCUCCUUAAUCUUGUGUGUGUUUUCAAAUUUUUUAAAAAUAGAGAUCUGUAGCAGUGUUGGGAAUGUCUUACUACCCUAUCAGUUAAUCCUAUACAUUGCUCAAGGCUCAACUGGAAGCUUUUCUUCUUUUCAGGUUUAGCUGUGCCUCCCAGUGACUAUAAUGACAAGGAAGCUGUAAAUGUAUUUGAGUUAAGCUUUUGCGAGAAAUGCCGGAAGGUCCUUCUGAAUCCCUUCCCUGUUCCUUAGGUUGCACUAGUCGGGGGUUCCAUGCUGGGGGGCAGAAGGAAUGCUCUCUACCGUCUGAAACCGUUCAUCAGGAAGGCCUUGAUUUGUGAUGUGCUAGGAGAGCACAGGAUCUGCAAAUAGAAGGCACCUGUCUCCCUUCUGCAGGCCGAGGAGAGGCCGCCAUGGACUGUGUGCUUCUUCAUGGCUUGUUUACUCUUCUUUCACAGACCCUACAGCUUGGGGCCUGGGCUCCUCUGACCAUCCUCAUUGAGAAAGGAAAG
rnacentral:lncRNA from 1 species